rnacentral:rRNA from 1 species
CCUACGGGAGGCAGCAGUAGGGAAUUUUCGGCAAUGGGGGCAACCCUGACCGAGCAACGCCGCGUGAGUGAAGAAGGUUUUCGGAUCGUAAAGCUCUGUUGUAAGAGAAGAACGUGUGUGAGAGUGGAAAGUUCACACAGUGACGGUAACGUACCAGAAAGGGACGGCUAACUCCGUGCCAGCAGCCGCGGUAAUACGUAGGUCCCGAGCGUUAUCAGGAUUUAUUGGGCGUAAAGCGAGCGCAGGCGGUUGGAUAAGUCUGAAGUUAAAGGCUGUGGCUUAACCCUAGUAUGCUUUGGAAACUGUUCAACUUGCGUGCAGAAGGGGCGAGUGGACUUCCAUUUGUCGCGGU